UACGUAGGGCGCAAGCGUUAUUCGGAAUUAUUGGGCGUAAAGAGCUCGUAGGCGGUUUGUCGCGUCUGCCGUGAAAGUCCGGGGCUCAACUCCGGAUCUGCGGUGGGUACGGGCAGACUAGAGUGAUGUAGGGGAGACUGGAAUUCCUGGUGUAGCGGUGAAAUGCGCAGAUAUCAGGAGGAACACCGAUGGCGAAGGCAGGUCUCUGGGCAUUAACUGACGCUUAGGAGCGAAAGCAUGGGGAGCGAACAGG
rnacentral:rRNA from 1 species